GGGAGCGUAGCUCAGAUGGUAGAGCACGCGCUUAGCAUGCGAGAGGUACGGGGAUCGAUGCCCUGCGCCUCCG
rnacentral:tRNA from 1 species